rnacentral:rRNA from 1 species
GAUGAACGCUAGCGGCAGGCUUAACACAUGCAAGUCGAGGGGCAGCGCGAUGUAGCAAUACAUUGGCGGCGACCGGCGCACGGGUGCGUAACACGUAUGGAAUCUGCCCUGUACUGGAAGAUAACCCGGCGAAAGUCGGACUAAUAUCCCAUAAUAGCCGAGGUGGCAUCACCUUGGUUUGAAAGCUCCGGCGGUACAGGAUGACCAUGCGCACGAUUAGCUAGCUGGUGAGGUAACGGCUCACCAAGGCUACGAUCGUUAGGGGGCCUGAGAGGGUUAUCCCCCACACUGGUACUGAGACACGGACCAGACUCCUACGGGAGGCAGCAGUGAGGAAUAUUGCGCAAUGGAGGCAACUCUGACGCAGCCAUGCCGCGUGCAGGAAGAAGGCGCUACGCGUUGUAAACUGCUUUUAUCCGGGAAGAAACCCCCAGGACGUGUCCUGGGUUGACGGUACCGGAGGAAUAAGCACCGGCUAACUUCGUGCCAG